rfam:Bacillus krulwichiae strain AM31D, complete genome.
UGGGCGGUAUCCAUUUGGAACUGCACCGUAAUACUUAUUAAAAUAGCGGAUCUGCCUUGAUCCAGUUUGGACUAGGACAGAGGG